AGGAACACCUUUGGAAAUGAACAACCACAAUAACAUCAAUAACAUCAUAAACAAACUGAUGACAAACUUAAAGCCAUGACUCAUUCGUAUAGCCUACACAGCUGGCAA